rnacentral:rRNA from 1 species
GAUGAACGCUGGCGGCGUGCCUAAUACAUGCAAGUCGAGCGGCCGGACGAGAAGCUUGUGUCUUUGCUGUUAGCGGCGGACGGGUGAGUAACACGUGGAUCACCUUCCUCUAAGACUGGGAUAACUUCGGGGAACCGGUGCUACUAACGGCUGAUAUUUUGAACCGCAUGGUUCAAAAGUUCAUGACGGUCUUGCUGUUUCUUUUAGCUGGAUCCGGGUUGGAUUAGUUAGUUGGUAAGGUAACGGCUUACCAAGGCAACGAUGCAUAGCCGACCUGAGAGGGUGAUCGGCCACACUGGAACUGAGACACGGUCCAGACUCCUACGGGAGGCAGCAGUAGGGAAUCUUCGGCAAUGGGCGAAAGCCUGACGGAGCAACGCCGCGUGAGUGAUGAAGGUCUUCGGAUCGUAAAACUCUGUUAUUAGGAAAGAACAGAUGUGGAAGUAACUGUGCACAUCUUGACGGUACCUAAUCAGAAAGCCACGGCUAACUUCGUG